rnacentral:tRNA from 1 species
GCCCGGGUGGUGAAAUUGGUAGACGCAGGGGACUCAAAAUCCCCCGCCGCAAGGCGUGCCGGUUCGAUUCCGGCCUCGGGCA